CAAGCGGUGGAGCAUGUGGUUUAAUUCGACGCAACGCGAAGAACCUUACCUGGGCUCGAACGGCUGCGGCAAGCUCCUGGAAACAGGGGCCCUCCCGCAAGGGACCGUAGUCGAGGUGCUGCAUGGCUGUCGUCAGCUCGUGUUGUGAGAUGUUGGGUUAAGUCCCGCAACGAGCGCAACCCUUGUCCUGUGUUGCUAAUCCGAAAGGAUGCACUCUCUGGAGACCGCCAGGGAUAACCUGGAGGAAGGUGGGGAUGACGUCAAGUCAUCAUGGCCUUUAUGUCCAGGGCUACACACGUGCUACAAUGGACGAUACAAAGCGCUGCAAACCCGCGAGGGAGAGCAGAUCGCAAAAAACCGUUCUCAGUUCGGAUUGCAGGCUGCAACUCGCCUGCAUGAAGCUGGAAUCGCUAGUAAUGGCAUAUCAGAACGAUGCCGUGAAUACGUUCCCGGGCCUUGUACACACC
rnacentral:rRNA from 1 species